CCUUGGAUUACAUAGUGGUAAUAAAUGACGAGGAGUGGACUUGCCUUUUCUAAAACGUUUACCUGUAUCUUCAGUUGAAACUCAUAAUGCAUCAAGAGAUUGUCUAUUGCAGUACAGUAAGGAAUCUUUGG